AAAAACCCUCAUAAUUUAAAAUCUUUUUUUAAAAAAAAUGUCACGUGAAGGGGAAAGGGUUAUAGACCAUUUCUGUUUAUUGUGUGUUAAACACCGGCCCUUCCUUUUCCCUUUGCCAGCAGUUAGGGCAGGUCUGCCUGCCUUCAAGGUCAUUCUUGAGUCUUAACACCCAGCAGCCUUCCUUAUCAGCCUGGCUUUGGGAAUUUGACCUUUUCUGUGCUCUGUGAACACACAAGGUCUUCAGGAGUUCUCCAAACACAGCCUGGCCUGGCCUGCCCAUCUGAGUUUUGUCUUUUCUUUUAGACGGAGGCUUUCUUCUACUCAAAGCGAAGCCUCCGUAGUCCCAAGGCCCAGAACCUUGGCUUCAGGAUGGUUUAGCCGGUUCAGGCCACUUGCCACCACAGUGCCUUAGGCCUCAUCUAAUUUACAUUCCGAGUAGUGAAGUAGUCAAUUAUUUAUUUAAACCCUCUUCUUUAUAAGAGCUGCAAAGUGCCCUGGAAAUCCCAGGUCUUGCAGCAGAGGAAGUUUUGGAAAAGCUCCCCCUAAGAAGCGGCACCAAAGCCUACUGACGUCCUUCAACUUCUGCUCACAGUCUUCAUCUAGACCCUUUAAUUGGCAUGUAUUUACUGUCUUCAAAAACGUAGUGGCCCAUGUGACUCAGCUUUCCCACUUCUGGGCGUGUUCCCCAGAGUCGGCAUCCAACAGAGCUGCCUGCAUCCUCACCCAUAUUACAGCACUGCUUAUAAAGACUGAGGUAUGGAGUCCACCUAGGUGUUCACCAGACAGACAAAUGAAGAAACUGGGGUGUCCAAAUGCGGCAGACUUCCUCAAAUGCAAGGAAGAAUGAAGUGGUGCCAUUUGCAGGAAAAUAGGUGCAGGGAUCAAGGAAAGAGAAAUAAGCCAUCAGCAUGAAGACACAUAUUGUGUGUUUUCUCUCAUGUGUGGAGUCUCAGAGAUGGAAGUUUUCCCUUUCUCCAAUCCAGUCUCAACUGACCAUGUGACACCAUCACUCUCCCUGGAUAAGAAGCCGCUUACAACUCGGAGACUGUUUCCAUCCACCAUGGUACACCUCCUCCUGCCUGAUUCCCCAUCUGCUGUCUCACUACCGUGGUUGACCACAAGGUGUUCUAUUUUGGCCAAAUUGAAGGUGGCACCAUCCUGGGAUUUGAGACGGCUUCAGUGACUGGGCAGUUUUUAUUAGGAGCAGUAAAUUAUUGAAAAAUCAUUCAGAGAAAGAUAUUAGGAGUAUCACAGGGAAGGCAGAGAUGCUGUGGGGGCAGAGACAGUUGCUCCACAUUCAAGGAGAUUUGUGUGGGUGGAGGUCAGAGGUCAGUGGUUGGUAUCAUCCUCAACUUUUUCAGACAGGUUGGCAACUGACCUAGAAACUUAUUAAUUUAGCUAAUUUUGCUGGCUAGCAAGCUGAAGGGGUUCUUCUGUCUCCUAGUCCUCCCCUGUGCUAGGAUGCUAUGUCCAACUUUCUACAGAGGUGCUGGGAAUCUGAACUCAGGUCCUUCUGCUUGUGUGAAAGCACAUUGCUGACUUAGUCAUCUCCCCAGCUGUUUUCUCCUCUUCCUCCUCCUCCUCCCUCCUCUUUCUUCGUGUCACUAAUGCCACCAGCAUCAGCACAGGAGCCUGAUGAUUAAAUUAGCAACAUUUGAGAUUUCAGAAACUUGCAUUUUCUGAUUAGAGGGAAUCUGUGUAGAAACUUAAAUGAUAUUUGCUAAAAUCCAAGUUAAAGGACAAUUUUAUGGGACCAAAUCGGUGACUUUGGCCAGUAAAUAUCACAUUUUUGGCAUUUGCCAUGAUUAAGGCAGAUUCAGAAUUUCUUGAUCUUUUCCAUGCUGUGAGAAAGAAGGGUCUUGGGCUCCAGUUUUGAACUGGAUGCUUUACUUGGCUAAGAUGAUUGGAGAAGCAGAUGAGAUAGGACAACUACAAUUAGUGCAUCCAUAAAUUGUUUGUUAAAAUUGGGCAUCUUCUUUGCUUUUAAGCACAAACUGAGCUCAUGGAUUUUAGUGAUACCCAUUGCCUCCCUGACAGCUUUUCCUGAAAGUCCUAUCAUAAACUUCUCACCAGUGUGCGGCAGAGGCAUGCAAAGCAAUAGUGUAAAGUUUUGUGUAUGACCAGUUUAUUAUUUAUGACAAAUUUUAUGCCCAUUUUGACCAGUUCUUAGAGUGAUUUAUCAACCAUUACCUGCUAACUGAUAUCGUGUUUAUAGUUAACUUUUUUUCUAUGUUUUUAAAAAAAGAUUUUAAGUGUGUGUACGUGUUUAUGCAUAUGAGUGUAGUGCUUUUGAACGCCAGAAGAGGGCACCAGAUUCACUGGAGCCAGAGUCAUAAGUGAAUGUUAGUACCCAAUGUCCAUGCUGGGAGAUAAACGCAGAUCUUCUGUAAGAGCAGUAUGCACUCUUGAUGGCUAAACCACUUCUCCAGUCCUUCUGUGUUUGUCCCUACUUAAUUUAGUUUUUUAUUUAGCCCUUGAGAGU